ensembl:lncRNA STX18-AS1 STX18 antisense RNA 1 (head to head)
GGGCAUCGGUUUCUCCCAGCAAAGCUUGGAGGGUUUAGCUGCGCGGAGAGCUCAGCGAGCUCUUCUGUGUCUGUUUGGGGCGUGUGGGCUCCGGGAGCGUGAGGACCGGGAAGCUAGGAGGCUCCUUCCCUUCUGGCGGCUCCCUCACUGAGACCGGGCGGUUUGGUUGCGGGGGAAGUGGAGACGAGCCACCCUUGACCUUUGACUGCAAGAACUCACCUUGAGCAGGAUAGAGGCACGUGGACGGUGACCCUCGGGAUGCAAUAAAUGCUGAGACAGAUCAGGUGUGCAAGGCACAGAGCUAGAGGCCAGAGGCCUUUCUUCUCCAACCUUCAGUCACCUCUUUUUAAAGUGAAGCCAGCAUCCUCCUCGGGGUUUACUGUGAAAAUUAAGUGAGCUGACGCGUGCUGUGUUUUGAUGUUGCUUGGCUCCUACAAACAUUGAGUGGGCCAGACACUGUUCUGAAAAAUACGCAGUCGACUUUUGAACAGCACAGGCUUGAACUGCAUGCGGCCACUAAUACUCGGACUUCCUUCUGCCUCUGCCAUCCCUAAGACAGCAAGACCCACCCCUCCUGCUCCUCAGCCUACUCGAUGUGAUGAUGAUGCAGAGAUUCAGAGAGUCUAAGCAACUUUUCUAAAUCAUCUAGCUGGAAUUCAGUAACUGAGCCAGGAUCUACCCCAGGUCUGUCUGACUCCAAAGCCUGUGUCUUCCAGCACACACUGCUGCUGCCUGGGGUAAGAGCUCAACAUUAUGCUUGGAAAAAGGAGCUUUUCUAUCUCAUUGUGGAGGGCUGGGAUGUCUCCCGUGUCCACGCUCCCUUCUUUCUUAGUAAUGGGCACGUUACUGCGUUCCCCAGCCUCUCUUGCAGCAAGGUGACCAAGUGAACACUUUCUGGCUAAUGAGAUGUACAUAGAAGUCUUGUGUAAUACUUCUGGGAAGCUUUCUGAAAGAGAGCGAAUACACUCUUCUCCCAUUUUCCUCAAAAACCUUCUAGCAGGAAUGUGGAUAUGAUGUCUGGAGCUCUAGCAACCAUAUCAGACCACAAGGAUGAAUGUACACCCCAGGAAUGGAAGAGAGGAAAGCCAGAAAAAGACUCGGUCCCUGAUGGCUGAAGAGCUACCAUACCUGCCCCUAGAUCUUCUAUUUCUGAUCAUCUUCUAUGCAAGGGGGCUUACCUUGGAGAAUGGCACCACCGUCUCAUCAGUUACUCAAGCCAUGAACCUGCUGCCAUAUUUGAGUCUUUCCCCUCCCUCGGAGCCUACAUCCGACUGCUCAGUGGUGUCUCGUGUCGUCCUUAUUUUGUCACUUGACAAGCAUUGGCUGAGUCCCUGCUGUGUGCCCUGCACUGCACUGGACAUUCAGAGUACAACACAGUCCCUAUAAUCAGGCUCUUGCAAUCCCGAGGGAUCAAGAUGCAAAGAUCGUUGAGUCCAUCAGCCCUACACCCUGCAUCUCCUGCUAUGGGAGCAGAGUGGGAAGGACACCAAGGCUUACAGAGGCUGUGCGCAAUCACGUGGCGUCAGCAGCAGAGCCCCGUGCCCAGGCACCUGGA